rnacentral:rRNA from 1 species
GACGAACGCUGGCGGCGUGCUUAACACAUGCAAGUCGAACGGAAGGGCCCUGCUUGCAGGGUACUCGAGUGGCGAACGGGUGAGUAACACGUGGGUGAUCUGCCCUGCACUUCGGGUUAAGCUUGGGAAACUGGGUCUAAUACCGGAUAGGAGCCAUCUUUGGUGUGGUGGUUGGAAAGUUUUUUCGGUGUAGGAUGAGCUCGCGGCCUAUCAGCUUGUUGGUGGGGUAAUGGCCUACCAAGGCGGCGACGGGUAGCCGGCCUGAGAGGGUGUACGGCCACAUUGGGACUGAGAUACGGCCCAGACUCCUACGGGAGGCAGCAGUGGGGAAUAUUGCACAAUGGGCGCAAGCCUGAUGCAGCGACGCCGCGUGGGGGAUGAAGGCCUUCGGGUUGUAAACUCCUUUCGCUAGGGACGAAGCUUUUUGUGACGGUACCUAGAUAAGAAGCACCGGCUAACUACGUG